CGGGGGGCUGCAGUGGGGAAUAUUGGACAAUGGGGGAAACCCUGAUCCAGCGAUGCCGCGUGUGUGAAGAAGGCCUGCGGGUUGUAAAGCACUUUCGGUGGAGAAGAAGAAGCUAUUUUGAUAAGGGGUAGUGGAAGACGUUAUCCACAGAAGAAGCACCGGCAAACUCUGUGCCAGCAGCCGCGGUAAUACAGGGGGUGCGAGCGUUAAUCGGAAUGACUGGGCGUAAAGGGCAUGUAGGCUGUUAAACAAGUUAGCUGUGAAAACUAUGGGCUUAACCGAUAGAUUGUCAGCUAAAACUGUUUAACUAGAGGACAGGAGAGGGAAGUGGAAUUUCCGGAGUAGCGGUGAAAUGCGUAGAUAUCGGAAAGAACAUCAGUGGCGAAGGCGACUUCCUAGACUGUAACUGACGCUGAGGUGCGAAAGCGUGGGGAGCAAACAGGAUUAGAUACCCUAGUAGUC
rnacentral:rRNA from 1 species